UUGCAUCGAUGAAGAACGCAGCGAAAUGCGAUACGUAAUGUGAAUUGCAGAAUUCAGCGAAUCAUCGAGUCUUUGAACGCACAUUGCGCCCCCUGGUAUUCCGGGGGGCAUGCCUGUUCGAGCGUCAUUUCACCACUCAAGCCUCGCUUGGUAUUGGGCAACGCGGUCCGCCGCGUGCCUCAAAUCGACCGGCUCCGGGUCUUCUGUCCCCUAAGCGUUGUGGAGACUAUUCGCUAAAGGGUGCUCGGGAGGCUACGCCGUAAAACAAACCCAUUUCUAAGGUUGACCUCGGAUCAGGUAGGGAUACCCGCUGA
rnacentral:rRNA from 1 species